GGUUUGUUAGCUCAGCUGGAUAGAGCGCCGGCCUGUCACGCCGGAGGUCGCGGGUUCAAGCCCCGUACAAGCCG
rnacentral:tRNA from 1 species